UGUCAAGCUGCUGUCACCUUACCUGAAGUAAGGAGUCCACGCCUGCAUGUCCGAGGAAAACAGUUUUCUCAAACACAUUAGUUGAAAAACUGAAGACGCUGCCUAAAAUACAAGCUGAGUUAGAGACAGCCCUUGUAAGACUAGAAAAAGAAAUGGAAACUAAGUAACAUGAAUUAACAUAGUCCAGGGUCACAAAGCAACAUGGAACAAGAACCUGGAUCUGAAUUCAGAGGCAGAAUGCUGGGCCUGAGAAUCAGGAGAGUCAAUGGUAUUAGUGCUUGUCCGGAAGCCAUCAUGCUUCAAAACCAAGAAGAGCUGAUUUUCCAGUUGGAGUCUAAAGGCUUUGGUAUCAGGAUGAUGCUGGCCUCAUCAAAUGAGUUAGGGAGGAUUCCCUCUUUUUCUAUUGAUUGGAAUAGUUUCAGAAGGAAUGGUACCAGCUCCUCCUUGUACCUCUGGUAGAAUUCGGCUGUGAAUCCAUCUGACCCUGG
rnacentral:lncRNA from 10 species